CUUCAAAUGAAGCCAGUGCAAGAGGAUGGGAAGUAACUCCCUGUCCUUUUUCCAGAAGAGGACAAGGAAAGAAGCCAGGUUUGGGUACAGCAAUGAUAUGGUUGCCAAGAGGAGCUUUGAUCUCAUGCUCACUGUCAACCAAACUGGGAUGAGGAACACACAUGAGGAGCCAGCUACUGAGAGACAAUGAAG
rnacentral:lncRNA from 14 species